rnacentral:rRNA from 1 species
GAUGAACGCUAGCGAUAGGCUUAACACAUGCAAGUCGAGGGGCAGCAUGGUCUUAGCUUGCUAAGGCUGAUGGCGACCGGCGCACGGGUGCGUAACGCGUAUGCAACUUGCCUCACAGAGGGGGAUAACCCGUCGAAAGACGGACUAAUACCGCGUACACUCUAUGUUGGGCAUCCAAUGUAGAGGAAAUGAAAUUCGCUGUGAGAUAGGCAUGCGUCCCAUUAGCUAGUUGGUGAGGUAACGGCUCACCAAGGCGACGAUGGGUAGGGGAACUGAGAGGUUGACCCCCCGCACUGGUACUGAGACACGGACCAGACUCCUACGGGAGGCAGCAGUGAGGAAUAUUGGUCAAUGGGCGAGAGCCUGAACCAGCCAAGUCGCGUGAAGGAUGACUGUCUUAUGGAUUGUAAACUUCUUUUAUACGGGAAUAACAAGAGUCACGUGUGGCUCCCUGCAUGUACCGUAUGAAUAAGCAUCGGCUAACUCCGUG